CUACGUGCCAGCAGCCGCGGUAAUACGUAGGUGGCAAGCGUUGUCCGGAUUUAUUGGGCGUAAAGCGAGCGCAGGCGGUUCCUUAAGUCUGAUGUGAAAGCCCCCGGCUCAACCGGGGAGGGUCAUUGGAAACUGGGGAACUUGAGUGCAGAAGAGGAGAGUGGAAUUCCAUGUGUAGCGGUGAAAUGCGUAGAUAUAUGGAGGAACACCAGUGGCGAAGGCGACUCUCUGGUCUGUAACUGACGCUGAGGCUCGAAAGCGUGGGUAGCAAACAGGAUUAGAUACCCUGGUAGUCCACGCCAUAAACGAUGAGUGCUAAGUGUUGGAGGGUUUCCGCCCUUCAGUGCUGCAGUUAACGCAUUAAGCACUCCGCCUGGGGAGUACGACCGCAAGGUUGAAACUCAAAGGAAUUGACGGGGGCCCGCACAAGCGGUGGAGCAUGUGGUUUAAUUCGAAGCAACGCGAAGAACCUUACCAGGU
rnacentral:rRNA from 1 species